UACAGAGGUCCCGAGCGUUGUUCGGAUUCAUUGGGCGUAAAGGGUGCGUAGGCGGCUUCCUAAGUUUGAUGUGAAAUCCUGGGGCUCAACCCUGGAACUGCAUUGAAUACUGGGAGGCUAGAGUACUGGAGAGGAAACUGGAAUUUACGGUGUAGCAGUGAAAUGCGUAGAUAUCUGGAGGAACACCGGUGGCGAAGGCGGCGUCCUGGACCAACACUGACACUGAUGAGCGAAAGCCAGGGGAGCAAACGGG
rnacentral:rRNA from 1 species